CGGACGGGUGAGUAACGCGUGGGCAACCUGCCCUGUACAGGGGGAUAACACUUAGAAAUAGGUGCUAAUACCGCAUGAGCGCACAAAGGCGCAUGCCUAUGUGCGGGAAGCCCGCGAGGGCGGUACGGGAUGGGCCCGCGUCUGAUUAGCCAGUUGGCAGGGUAACGGCCUACCAAAGCGACGAUCAGUAGCCGGCCUGAGAGGGUGGACGGCCACAUUGGGACUGAGACACGGCCCAAACUCCUACGGAAGGCAGCAG
rnacentral:rRNA from 1 species